rnacentral:rRNA from 1 species
UACAGGCUUAACACAUGCAAGUCGAGGGGCAGCAUGGUCUUAGCUUGCUAAGGCCGAUGGCGACCGGCGCACGGGUGAGUAACACGUAUCCAACCUGCCGUCUACUCUUGGACAGCCUUCUGAAAGGAAGAUUAAUACAAGAUGGCAUCAUGAGUCCGCAUGUUCACAUGAUUAAAGGUAUUCCGGUAGACGAUGGGGAUGCGUUCCAUUAGAUAGUAGGCGGGGUAACGGCCCACCUAGUCUUCGAUGGAUAGGGGUUCUGAGAGGAAGGUCCCCCACAUUGGAACUGAGACACGGUCCAAACUCCUACGGGAGGCAGCAGUGAGGAAUAUUGGUCAAUGGGCGAGAGCCUGAACCAGCCAAGUAGCGUGAAGGAUGACUGCCCUAUGGGUUGUAAACUUCUUUUAUAAAGGAAUAAAGUCGGGUAUGGAUACCCGUUUGCAUGUACUUUAUGAAUAAGGAUCGGCUAACUCCGUGCCAGCAGCCGCGGUAAUACGGAGGAUCCGAGCGUUAUCCGGAUUUAUUGGGUUUAAAGGGAGCGUAGAUGGAUGUUUAAGUCAGUUGUGAAAGUUUGCGGCUCAACCGUAAAAUUGCAGUUGAUACUGGAUGUCUUGAGUGCAGUUGAGGCAGGCGGAAUUCGUGGUGUAGCGGUGAAAUGCUUAGAUAUCACGAAGAACUCCGAUUGCGAAGGCAGCCUGCUAAGCUGCAACUGACAUUGAGGCUCGAAAGUGUGGGUAUCAAACAGG